GGGGGGGGGCGGUGUCCGGCUUUAGUGCAGAAGCCAACCUUUCCCGCCCCGGACGAGGCCCUAGAGCUAGUCCCGGGUCCAGCUCUCUGUCCUCACUCCUGUUCCGCGGUCCUGGCUGCUGAGCAGCAGGAGCUGGUAAGGGCUUCACUCAGGCUGAAAUUCUUGCUUCACUACUUGCCGGCUGGUGCCCUGCAGGUCCAACCUUUGACUGACAACAGACAUCUGUGCUUCCUACAUUCAGACAACACGGGGCGUAAGCUGCUCACCAGACCCAGUUAGAGGUUACUUCUUGAAGACCUUCCCCGACAAAGGAGCGCCUGGGCUUGCUGUCAUCUGCUGUGUGUAGCCACAUGGCCCCGUGCUUCCACACCCAUUCUCUGUUUGACAGUACCUUCUUCUGACCCUGGAUCUCAAGCACAUCUAGAAGGAGGAGAGCAGUGGAGCUCAGGUCAGCGCCAUGCCAUACGAUGCUCUCUGGUGGUGCUUAGCCAUGGGACCAUGAGGGUGAACAACCGAUAUUCUGACAACCAUUCUGUGCCCAAAUGACCAUUAUUCUGUUUUUGACUUUUAGCACAGUGUUCAACAAAUGACAUGAGGCGCGGAGACCUCACCGUAAGAGCUCACCAACGUGACCAGUUUAGUGCUCCCUGUUAAU